rnacentral:rRNA from 1 species
GGCGUAAAGGGCUCGCAGGCGGUUUCUUAAGUCUGAUGUGAAAGCCCCCGGCUCAACCGGGGAGGGUCAUUGGAAACUGGGGAACUUGAGUGCAGAAGAGGAGAGUGGAAUUCCACGUGUAGCGGUGAAAUGCGUAGAGAUGUGGAGGAACACCAGUGGCGAAGGCGACUCUCUGGUCUGUAACUGACGCUGAGGAGCGAAAGCGUGGGGAGCGAACAGGAUUAGAUACCCUGGUAGUCCACGCCGUAAACGAUGAGUGCUAAGUGUUAGGGGGUUUCCGCCCCUUAGUGCUGCAGCUAACGCAUUAAGCACUCCGCCUGGGGAGUACGGUCGCAAGACUGAAACUCAAAGGAAUUGACGGGGGCCCGCACAAGCGGUGGAGCAUGUGGUUUAAUUCGAAGCAACGCGAAGAACCUUACCAGGUCUUGACAUCCUCUGACAAUCCUAGAGAUAGGACGUCCCCUUCGGGGGCAGAGUGACAGGUGGUGCAUGGUUGUCGUCAGCUCGUGUCGUGAGAUGUUGGGUUAAGUCCCGCAACGAGCGCAACCCUUGAUCUUAGUUGCCAGCAUUCAGUUGGGCACUCUAAGGUGACUGCCGGUGACAAACC